rnacentral:tRNA from 1 species
GUUCCCUUCGUCUAGGCCGGUCUAGGACACCUCCCUUUCACGGAGGUAACGUGGGUUCGAAUCCCACAGGGAACGCCA